GACCGGAGCGCGCUCAAAGGCUGCCGGUCCAAAGGAGAGUCCAAUUCUUCAAACUUCAAAUGACAGUCCGAAGAUCCACUAGUUAACUUAAUCUGGACUAUAGGAGGAAUUCUGACAACUGACAAAAGACAGCGGCAUUCCUCCGGAACUUGUGAAGCUCUAGUUCCUGUCUAGGAAAAUGACUCAUUUCCUUUACCUCCAGCAAAAGUGACUUAUGGCUCUCCAAUUAACAGAUCAGCACAAGGUGCAAGCCCUGCAGCCUCCAGACUCCCUCAGUCCCUACAAGCACUUAUACAUUUCAAAGCCUGCUCACCAGUCCCCAGGCCCUUCCCACCCGCCGAUUACUCAUUCUUGUUCACUCUUCUCUGCUCCUGCUGCUGCUUUUCUCAAUAAGCUUCCCCUAUUUUCUAUCAGUGGCCAUUUCCCCGUUUCUUGUAGACAGUCCUGGCAAAGCCCAGUCUGCUGCGCAUGGUCAGUCUACUUCUUUCUCUCUCUGCCCUGGACUCUCCAGAUCCCUGUGGCUGUUCUCGCUCUCAUGUCUCCAAUAAAAACCUUAACCAUAA
rnacentral:lncRNA from 1 species